rnacentral:rRNA from 1 species
AAAUUGAAGAGUUUGAUCAUGGCUCAGAUUGAACGCUGGCGGCAGGCCUAACACAUGCAAGUCGAACGGUAACAGGAAACAGCUUGCUGUUUCGCUGACGAGUGGCGGACGGGUGAGUAAUAUCUGGGAAACUGCCUGAUGGAGGGGGAUAACUACUGGAAACGGUAGCUAAUACCGCAUAACGUCGCAAGACCAAAGAGGGGGACCUUCGGGCCUCUUGCCAUCGGAUGUGCCCAGAUGGGAUUAGCUAGUAGGUGGGGUAACGGCUCACC